AGCUUUGCGCAGUGGCAUUAUUGUAGCCAAUGAGGUUUAUCUGAGGCACGAUUAUUGCUAAUUGAAAACUUUCCUAGUUAUUUUACUGCAUUUUACUAUUAUUUACAUUUUGAAAUUAUUUAUUUCUAUUGCAUCUGUAGG